AUUGAACGCUAGCGGGAUGCCUUACACAUGCAAGUCGAACGAGUGGCGGACGGAUGAGUAAUGUAUGGGAACCUGCCCGGUGGAGGGGGAUAACUACUCGAAACGGUAGCUAAUACCGCAUACCAUCGGAUGUGCCGGGAUGGGAUUAGCUAGUAGGUGGGGUAACGGCUCACCAAGGCGACGAUCCGUAGCUGGUCUGAGAGGAGGACCAGCCACACUGGAACUGAGAAACGGCCCAGACUCCUACGGGAGGCAGCAGUGGGGAAUUUUGGACAAUGGGCGCAAGCCUGAUGCAGCCAUGCCGCGUGUAUGAAGAAGGCCUUCGGGUUGUAAAGUACUUUUAGCAGGGAAGCGGUACCCGCAGAAGAAGCACCGGCUAACUACGUGCCAGCAGCCGCGGUAAUUC
rnacentral:rRNA from 1 species